rnacentral:rRNA from 1 species
UUAGGAAUCUUCCGCAAUGGACGAAAGUCUGACGGAGCAACGCCGCGUGGGCGAUGAAGGCCUUCGGGUCGUAAAGCUCUGUUGUUAGGGAAGAGCAAGUACGAGAGUAACUGCUCGUACCUUGACGGUACCUAACCAGAAAGCCACGGCUAACUACGUG